CCCUGGAUAGAGUUGACUUGAAUAAGAUGACACCCAGCAGGGUAAGUGUUAAGUGGUAACCUUGUGUUUCAAUGAUGGUAACCACAGAGGAGGGGCUGUAGCUGAGUCGUGGCGCUUGUGAGAAGGCACUGGAGUUAGCUCAGUAGGAACUCAGUAUGAAUCGACUGAACUCAGGAUGAAUUUGAGACGUCUGCCAAGUCUCCCAGGCCCCAACCCUAACUCUGUGCUCUGAGCGCCUCAAGCAUAGGGACGAGUCAUAGUCACUUAUUUCUAUGCCUGACACCUUACAGUCAACAUCCAGCAAGUCUUUGACGAGAACAUAACAUGAAUGGAGCGGUGCAAACGAUAAAGAGCGGCACCCUGGCAGCGGGUGAAUUCUCCCCAUUCACUAAUGACAACUCCUCCAGCAGGGAGCCCAGGGUUAACUGGGCGCUGGGACAAAAUAAACCUUACCUACUA